UGGUGAGAUUGAAUGACUGGUGAAAA
rnacentral:piRNA from 1 species